GCUGCUUCCACUUCCGCUUCCACUUCCACUACCACUACCAUUCUCACUUGUGCUGCUGUCAGUUCCACUGCUAGUGCUUGAGCUUGAGGCUUGCUCCUUCAUCACUUCUGCAUUGACCUGAGCCCUAAGGGCUUCUGCAGCGUUAGGGCCCUUGUCAGCGUCGUCAUCACUGAUAUCAACAUCAGCUAUCUCAUCAUCCGUGUCAACCUGAUGUGGCAGGUUAAUAUCAAUGUCAAGAAAUGUGCCUGAUCCCUUUGCAGAAUUAUUGUCUCUGUUGGUUGUCCCACAACCAUCAUCAUGAUCA
rnacentral:misc_RNA from 1 species